rnacentral:rRNA from 1 species
UACGUAGGGUGCGAGCGUUGUCCGGAAUUAUUGGGCGUAAAGAGCUCGUAGGCGGUGUGUCGCGUCGGCCGUGAAAAACCUGGGGGCUUAACUCUGGGCGUGCGGUCGAUACGGGGCAUCACUAGAGUUUCGGCAGGGGGAGACUGGAAUUCCUGGUGUAGCGGUGAAAAUGCGCAGAUAUCAGGGAGGGAAACACCCGG